CGGAGCAUGCGGCUUAAUUCGACGCAACGCGAAGAACCUUACCAAGGCUUGACAUAUACAGGAAUACGGCAGAGAUGUCGUAGCCGCAAGGUCUGUAUACAGGUGGUGCAUGGUUGUCGUCAGCUCGUGUCGUGAGAUGUUGGGUUAAGUCCCGCAACGAGCGCAACCCUCGUUCUGUGUUGCCAGCAUUUAGUUGGGGACUCACAGGAGACUGCCGGGGUUAACUCGGAGGAAGGUGGGGAUGACGUCAAAUCAUCAUGCCCCUUAUGUCUUGGGCUGCACGCAUGCUACAAUGGCUGGUACAAACGGCUGCAAUACCGCAAGGUGGAGCGAAUCCGAGAAAGCCAGUCUCAGUUCGGAUUGGGGUCUGCAACUCGACCCCAUGAAGUCGGAGUUGCUAGUAAUCGUAGAUCAGCAACGCUACGGUGAAUACGUUCCCGGGGCUUGUACACACCGCCCGUCACAUCACGAAAGUCGGUAACACCCAAAGUCAGUG
rnacentral:rRNA from 1 species